GUCGGGAAGAGGAAGAAAGAGGGUCUAAGAAUGGUUGGAAUGGGAACAUGGAGGAAACCUAAACCUUUAGUUUCCAUCUCUGACAAUAGAGGUGGAAAUUUGGCUGAGUGUUUCCCAAUGCCUCCCAUUCCUAUUAUUCUUAAUCACUCCUUCCUCUUCCUUUUGACU
rfam:Oryza glaberrima chromosome 4 Oglab04_0221_14, whole genome shotgun sequence.